AAGGGUUUAGUUUAUUUAAAACAUUAAUUUGUCAAGUUAAAAAAAUUAUUGUAAUAAUUCUUU
rnacentral:tRNA from 1 species